rnacentral:tRNA from 1 species
UCCCCUGUGGUUCAGAGGUUUAAGAAUCCAGCAUUGUCACUGAAGUGCUCAGGUCAUUGCUGUGGUGGAGGUUCAAUCCCUUGCAUGGGAA